CCAUUCAGAGAGGUAAUGAUGGCUGUUGAUGGAGACGAUGUGACUCUCUCCUGCAACUAUUCAGGCUCUGUCACCAACCUCUACUGGUAUCAGCAGAAAUCAGGUUCAUCUCCACAACAUCUCAUAGCUCCUCAGUUCCUUCUCCUGAUCAGCGACACUUCGGAUCCAACUCUGACUGUUAAACUGAAUAAGGAGAGAAACCGUGUGGAUCUACAGAUCUCCUCUGCUGCACUGACUGACUCUGCUGUGUACUACUGU